GUGUCACUUCAGCAGCACAUAUACUAAAAUUGUAACAAUACAGAUAAGAUUAGCAUGCCCCCAGUGGAAGAAUGGCACACAAAUUUAUGAAGCAUUCAUAUUUUUA
rnacentral:snRNA from 1 species